rnacentral:tRNA from 1 species
GGGGUGGUAGCAGUUGGUAGCUCACUAGGCUCAUAACCUAGAGGUCGUUGGUUCGAGUCCAACCCCCGCGCCUA